rnacentral:rRNA from 1 species
GAUGAACGCUGGCGGCGUGCCUAAUACAUGCCAGUCGAGCGAACGGACGAGAAGCUUGCUUCUCUGAUGUUAGCGGCGGACGGGUGAGUAACACGUGGAUAACCUACCUAUAAGACUGGGAUAACUUCGGGAAACCGGAGCUAAUACCGGAUAAUAUUUUGAACCGCAUGGUUCAAAAGUGAAAGACGGUCUUGCUGUCACUUAUAGAUGGAUCCGCGCUGCAUUAGCUAGUUGGUAAGGUAACGGCUUACCAAGGCAACGAUGCAUAGCUGACCUGAGAGGGUGAUCGGCCACACUGGAACUGAGACACGGUCCAGACUCCUACGGGAGGCAGCAGUAGGGAAUCUUCCGCAAUGGGCGAAAGCCUGACGGAGCAACGCCGCGUGAGUGAUGAAGGUCUUCGGAUCGUAAAACUCUGUUAUUAGGGAAGAACAUAUGUGUAAGUAACUGUGCACAUCUUGACGGUACCUAAUCAGAAAGCCACGGCUAACUACGUG